GGGUGAUUAGCUCAGCUGGGAGAGCAUCUCCCUUACAAGGAGAGGGUCGGCGGUUCGAUCCCGUCAUCACCCA
rfam:Edwardsiella ictaluri 93-146, complete genome.